AGCAGUGUGGGCUAUGGAUAGCUUGUUGAAGGUCCUAUCCAAUUUUUGUUGGACAACCUUACCCUCAGAGUGUGACAAUUUAUUGGUAUCAGAGCCACAGGAAGCUGUAGGACAUCUUCAAGCUAUAGGAAAAUAAGGUAGAUGAUGGAGGAGUUACUUGGAGGAUCCUAGUUGACAGUCCCACGUCACAUCUUAGAUCAGCUUUCCAUGCUAUUUUGUAUUACGCUAUUGGUACUUUGUAUUUGGAUUUAGUAUCGUGUUAUG